GGGGAGAAUAAGGGUUCGACUCCGGAGAGGGAGCCUGAGAAAUGGCUACCACAUCCAAGGAUGGCAGCAGGCGCGCAAAUUACCCACUCUCAGUACGAGGAGGUAGUGACGAAAAAUAACAAUGCGGGACUCAUCAGAGGCCUCGCAAUUGGAAUGAGCGCACUUUAAAUCGUUCGACGAGGAUCUAUUGGAGGGCAAGUCUGGUGCCAGCAGCCGCGGUAAUUCCAGCUCCAAUAGCGUAUAUUAAAGUUGUUGCAGUUAAAAAGCUCGUAGUUGGAUCUGGGGUUCGGGUCGGCGGUUUGCCGCUUCGGCGGCUACUGCCGUGCUCGACUCUUACUAGCCGGUGCGUCUUGCGGUGCUCUUCAUCGAGUGCCGUAGGAGCCUGGCAUGUUUACUUUGAAAAAAUUAGAGUGCUCAAAGCAGGCGAUUCCGCCUGAAUAGUGUUGCAUGGAAUAAUGGAAUAGGACCUCGGUUCUAUUUUGUUGGUUUUCGGAACUUGAGGUAAUGAUUAAGAGGGACGGUCGGGGGCAUUCGUAUUUCGGUGUUAGAGGUGAAUUUCUUGGAUCGCUGAAAGACGGACAAAUGCGAAAGCAUCUGCCAAGAACGUCUCCAUUAAUCAAGAACGAAAGUCAGAGGUUCGAAGACGAUCAGACACCGUCCUAGUUCCGACCAUAAACGAUGCCAACUAGCGAUCCGCAGUGGUUGCUAUAAACGGACUCUGCGAGCAGCUUCCGGGAAACCAAAGUGUUUGGGUUCCGGGGGAAGUAUGGUUGCAAAGCAGAAACUUAAAGGAAUUGACGGAAGGGCACCACCAGGAGUGGAGCCUGCGGCUUAAUUUGACUCAACACGGGGAAACUCACCCGGUCCGGACACUGUAAGGAUUGACAGAUCGAGAGCUCUUUCUUGAUUCGGUGGAUGGUGGUGCAUGGCCGUUCUUAGUUGGUGGAGUGAUUUGUCUGGUUAAUUCCGAUAACGAACGAGACUCUAGCCUGCUAACUAGUUGCGCCGUGUUCAUACGCGGCUGUAGACUUCUUAGAGGGACAGGUGGCGUUUAGCCACACGAAAUUGAGCAAUAACAGGUCUGUGAUGCCCUUAGAUGUCCGGGGCCGCACGCGCGCUACACUGAAGGAGUCAGCGUGUGCUAUCCGGGCUCGGAAGAGUUCGGUAACCCGUUGAAACUCCUUCGUGCUUGGGAUUGUGGCUUGUAAUUAUCGCGCAUGAACGAGGAAUUCCCAGUAAGUGCAAGUCAUCAGCUUGCGCUGACUACGUCCCUGCCCUUUGUACACACCGCCCGUCGCUACUACCGAUUGAAUGGUUUAGCAAGGUACUCGGAUUGGUCUCGAUCUUGUACGAAAGUGCGGGAUCUGUGGCCGAGAAGAAGGCCAAACUUGAUCAUUUAGAGGAAGUAAAAGUCGUAACGAGGUU
rnacentral:rRNA from 1 species